rnacentral:rRNA from 1 species
GUGUCAGCCGCCGCGGUAACACGGGGGGAGCAAGCGUUGUUCGGAAUCACUGGGCGUAAAGGGAGUCUAGGCUGUCAGGUAAGUGGGAUGUGAAAUGCCCCGGCUCACCCGGGGACCGGCAUCCCAAACUGCUUGGCUCGAGUAUGGGAGAGGAUGAGGGAAUUCCUGGUGUAGCGGUGAAAUGCGUAGAUAUCAGGAGGAACACCGGUGGCGAAAGCGCUCAUCUGGCCCAAUACUGACGCUGAAGCUCGAAAGCUAGGGGAGCAAACGGGAUUAGAAACCCCAGUAGUCC